rnacentral:rRNA from 1 species
AACCUUACCUACCCUUGACAUGUACGGAACCCUGCCGAGAGGUGGGGGUGCCCGAAAGGGAGCCGUAACACAGGUGCUGCAUGGCUGUCGUCAGCUCGUGUCGUGAGAUGUUGGGUUAAGUCCCGCAACGAGCGCAACCCUUGUCCCCAGUUGCUACGCAAGAGCACUCCGGGGAGACUGCCGGUGACAAACCGGAGGAAGGUGGGGAUGACGUCAAGUCCUCAUGGCCCUUAUGGGUAGGGCUUCACACGUCAUACAAUGGUCGGAACAGAGGGUUGCGAAGCCGCGAGGUGGAGCCAAUCCCAGAAACCCGUCUAGUCCGGAUCGCAGUCUGCAACUCGACUGCGUGAAGCUGGAAUCGCUAGUAAUCGCGGAUCAGCAUG